GACGAACGCUGGCGGCGUGCUUAACACAUGCAAGUCGAACGGUGAAGCCCUUCGGGGUGGAUCAGUGGCGAACGGGUGAGUAACACGUGAGUAAUCUGCCCUUGACUCUGGGAUAACUUCGGGAAACCGGAGCUAAUACCGGAUAUUCACAUUCUGUCGCAUGGUGGGGUGUGGAAAGGAUUCUGGUUGAGGAUGAGCUCGCGGCCUAUCAGCUUGUUGGUGGGGUAAUGGCCUACCAAGGCGACGACGGGUAGCCGGCCUGAGAGGGCGACCGGCCACACUGGGACUGAGACACGGCCCAGACUCCUACGGGAGGCAGCAGUGGGGAAUAUUGCGCAAUGGGCGGAAGCCUGACGCAGCGACGCCGCGUGAGGGAUGAAGGCCUUCGGGUCGUAAACCUCUUUCAGCAGGGAAGAAGCGUGAGUGACGGUACCUGCAGAAGAAGCACCGGCUAACUACGUGCCAGCCGCCGCAGUAAAAC
rnacentral:rRNA from 1 species